rfam:Fonsecaea pedrosoi CBS 271.37 unplaced genomic scaffold supercont1.5, whole genome shotgun sequence.
GCUGGUGUGGUGUAGUGGUUAGCAUGCUUCGUCAACAAGUUAUGGGUGCAUCGUAACUGCAUUUAACCCCUCAACCACAAAAGUGGGAGGGGUCAACAAACAGUCAUCUAACUCCCUAACAAUAAUCCGAAGCGACCCUGGUUCGAAUCCAGGCACCAGUA